GACGAACGCUGGCGGCGUGCUUAACACAUGCAAGUCGAACGGUGAAGCUCCAAGCUUGCUUGGGGUGGAUCAGUGGCGAACGGGUGAGUAACACGUGGGCAACCUGCCCCGGACUCUGGAAUAAGCGCUGGAAACGGCGUCUAAUACUGGAUAUGACAUCAAGCCGCAUGGUUAUGGUGUGGAAAGUUUUUCGGUCCGGGAUGGGCUCGCGGCCCAGCAGCUUGUUGGUGAGGUAAUGGCUCACCAAGGCGACGACGGGUAGCCGGCCUGAGAGGGCGACCGGCCACACUGGGACUGAGACACGGCCCAGACUCCUACGGGAGGCAGCAGUGGGGAAUAUUGCACAAUGGGCGAAAGCCUGAUGCAGCGACGCCGCGUGAGGGAUGACGGCCUUCGGGUUGUAAACCUCUUUCAGCAGGGAAGAAGCGAAAGUGACGGUACCUCCAGAAGAAGCACCGGCUAACUACGUGCCAGCAGCCGCCAGUAA
rnacentral:rRNA from 1 species